AGUGAACGCUGGCGGUAGGCCUAACACAUGCAAGUCGAACGGCAGCACAAGAGAGCUUGCUCUCUGGGUGGCGAGUGGCGGACGGGUGAGGAAUACAUCGGAAUCUACUCUGUCGUGGGGGAUAACGUAGGGAAACUUACGCUAAUACCGCAUACGACCUACGGGUGAAAGCAGGGGACCUUCGGGCCUUGCGCGAUUGAAUGAGCCGAUGUCGGAUUAGCGAGUUGGCGGGGUAAAGGCCCACCAAGGCGACGAUCCGUAGCUGGUCUGAGAGGAUGAUCAGCCACACUGGAACUGAGACACGGUCCAGACUCCUACGGGAGGCAGCAGUGGGGAAUAUUGGACAAUGGGCGCAAGCCUGAUCCAGCCAUACCGCGUGGGUGAAGAAGGCCUUCGGGUUGUAAAGCCCUUUUGUUGGGAAAGAAAUCCAGCUGGCUAAUACCCGGUUGGGAUGGCGGUACCCAAAGAAUAAGCACCGGCUAACUUCGUGCCAGCAGCCGCAGUAA
rnacentral:rRNA from 1 species